rnacentral:rRNA from 1 species
AACAUCGCCUCCUGCAAAAAUCAAUGUAUAGGAGGUCCUGCCUGCCCAGUGACAACUUGUUAAACGGCCGCGGUAUUUUGACCGUGCUAAGGUAGCGCAAUCACUUGUCUUUUAAAUGAAGACCUGUAUGAAUGGUGGAACGAGGGCUUAACUGUCUCCCUUCUCCCGUCAAUGAAAUUGAUCUGCCCGUGCAGAAGCGGGCAUAUAAAUACAAGACGAGAAGACCCUUUGGAGCUUAUUGGGGCGACCGCGGGGGAAAACAAAGCCCCCACGUAAAACUGAGAGAGACAUCUCUAAGCCACAGAAUAUCUGACCAAAAGAUCCGGCCUACAAGCCGAUCAACGAACCAAGUUACCCUAGGGAUAACAGCGCAAUCCUUUCCAAGAGUUCAUAUCGACGAAAGGGUUUACGACCUCGAUGUUGGAUCAGGACAUCCUAAUGGUGCAGCCGCUAUUAAGGGUUCGUUUGUUCAACGAUUAAAGUCCUACGUGAUCU